UCUUUUUUUUAUUGCGUCACGCGACGACGCGGUAUGGGCUAAGAAAUAUUUUAGUUUUAUUGUUUUGAAUGAUCGGUGGUCGUUUUAUGCUGUGGUAAAUCAGGGUUUCGCGUUGGUUGAGCUACGAGGAAUUGAAUCACGGAGAAUGGAGCUGGAGGGCAAGGCAUAAGGAGAAACGGAGUGCAGAACAUGUCGGAUGCGAUCAUACCAGCACUAAUGCAUCAGAUCCCAUCAAAACUCCGAAGUUAAGCGUGCUUGGGCGAGAGUAGUACUAGGAUGGGUGACCUCCUGCGAAGUCCUCGUGUUGCAUCCC
rnacentral:rRNA from 1 species